UACGGAGGGUGCGAGCGUUGUCCGGAAUCACUGGGCGUAAAGGGCGCGUAGGCGGCGCGGGAAGUCAUCGGUGAAAGUUCAGGGCUCAACUCUGAAUCGGCCGGUGAUACUCUCGUGCUCGAGCACUGUAGAGGCAGGUGGAAUUCCGGGUGUAGCGGUGGAAUGCGUAGAGAUCCGGAAGAACACCGGUGGCGAAGGCGGCCUGCUGGGCAGUAGCUGACACUGAGGCGCGACAGCGUGGGGAGCAAACAGG
rnacentral:rRNA from 1 species